GAUGAACGCUGGCGGCGUGCUUAACACAUGCAAGUCGAACGAUGAAGCCCAGCUUGCUGGGUAGAUUAGUGGCGAACGGGUGAGUAACACGUGAGUAACCUGCCCUUGACUCUGGGAUAAGCCUGGGAAACUGGGUCUAAUACUGGAUAUGACUUCUCAUCGCAUGGUGGGGGGUGGAAAGAUUUAUUGGCCUUGGAUGGACUCGCGGCCUAUCAGCUUGUUGGUGAGGUAAUGGCUCACCAAGGCGACGACGGGUAGCCGGCCUGAGAGGGUGACCGGCCACACUGGGACUGAGACACGGCCCAGACUCCUACGGGAGGCAGCAGUGGGGAAUAUUGCACAAUGGGCGCAAGCCUGAUGCAGCGACGCCGCGUGAGGGAUGACGGCCUUCGGGUUGUAAACCUCUUUCAGUAGGGAAGAAGCGAGAGUGACGGUACCUGCAGAAGAAGCGCCGGCUAACUACGUG
rnacentral:rRNA from 1 species